GCAAGACGUUGAAGAUCUCAAACAAACUAUUGUUGGGUCUAGCAGAAGCUGCAGCAUCACUCCUUAUGAGGAUGAUUUUGACGAUUCAGCCAGAGAUGCCAUAAUUAAGGAAAGCAAUGACAACUAUGAUGGGGAAGGGGCUGGACGUAGUGGAGAAGGUACCUCUAAUGACGUAGACGCACCACACCAAAAGUGGAUACAGCAUCCAAAUGGGCCCAAUCUAAUUGAAAAUUGGAUUGGGAAUUUCAAUUAAUGCACACAAUGACAAGGUAACUCGGAUAAAGAGGCCAUGCAAUGCCAGCGGCAUAGAUGAUCAUCCUACUGCCAGUAGCAUGGGGUUUGGUGCUACUACUGCUACCACCAGCACCACUGCACCGUCUUUGGGUGUCAGGACUUUAUGCUGAUGAUGAUGAUGGAGUGGAGCUGGGUUCAGCAACUCAAAAACUGAAAGAUUCCAGCAAGUAUGUCAUUUUCAAGUAUCCACUUAUUUUCUCAUGUGGGUUUUCCUUUUCCCAGAAACUGUCUUUUUUUUUUUUGGCACACAUUUGUUUCUUGUAUGUGACUAUGUCUCUGUUUGGCUGCAAGGAAACUUGAGGAAAAUUAAUGUAGAAAGGGUAAAAAACUUAUGAAUUCUAUCUCAUUUGAUGUUUUAGUUUUGGGGAAUUAUAAUGCUUGACUAAUAUGAUCUGAAAUAGUGGAGCUAGACUUGGUUCUUGAGUUCUCAACUUUCUGGGUUCCCUCUGAAACAUAUAAAUUUUGUUUUCUUGUCCCAUAUUUUUAAUAGAAUCUGAAAGAGUGACAAAAUGCUGGGGUUUUUUCUUAUGGUUUUGUUGUCAGAACACAUAAACACGGCUCAAGCAAGCCAGUUGUGUUUGGCUUUGCUGGCAAUUUCUUUCCUUCACAUAAAAUGCAAUUUUUUCCGCAUGAAAAUAGGAGCUUAUUAUGGGUUAGAUUGUUUUGUAUAUAUGUUUUCUGAAAGUACCAGUUGGAGCUAAGCCAGAAAGCUUUGGAGAGAAUAUAAUUGUAUAUUUGGGAAAAGGUUGUGGGACGACCCACAUUGCUGUACUGCUUAUACACAAGCUGGGCCACUUGAAAAGGAAGCCCCAGAAGAACAUAUGCGUCUUUUUUGCCCCUACAGUGGUUCUGUUUCUGCUGGGAGGAAUGAUGGGUGUAGUAGUUUUGGUGUCACUACAAAGAAAGUCGUUGGAUCCAUAGGAGGUUUCAAUAGUCAGCUACUAGCCAGGAUGGAUGGUGCAGAAACGUGGACUCCCGUCUUGUAAAAAAACAAGAUGGACAACAAAUUUGGCAAAUUCAAUCCACUGUAAGGCUUCGCUUUAUGACAAUUGGGACAUUAUUCGUGAAGAUGUAGUGGAAAAACAUUUUAGACCACUAAAAUCAUCCAAACACUCUGUAUAAAUACAUGUUUUCCUCAAAGUGAAAUUCCAGAAUGGUUCAACCAUCAAUGCAUGGGCCCUUCUCUGGCUAUCCAGCUAUCUCAAAAUUUCAGUAUUGAUAGUGACUGUUGUAUUUUACUAUUUCCCUCCUAGCCUGCUAGAACAUAAAGUUGCAUGGUUUUGGUUAAAUUCUUCCAUACGGUUGGGAACCUUUGGUUGAUGACUACUUGUUUGUGCCUCCCUCGCUAUGCAGAAAACUAAUAUUUAUAUGCAUUGGUUUAAUGAGAAAUUCUUGACCUCACUUUUAGUGUU